UGGGGAAUAUUGCACAAUGGGCGCAAGCCUGAUGCAGCCAUGCCGCGUGUAUGAAGAAGGCCUUCGGGUUGUAAAGUACUUUCAGCGAGGAGGAAGGCAUUAAGGUUAAUAACCUUGGUGAUUGACGUUACUCGCAGAAGAAGCACCGGCUAACUCCGUGCCAGCAGCCGCGGGAAUACGGAGGGUGCAAGCGUUAAUCGGAAUUACUGGGCGUAAAGCGCACGCAGGCGGUCUGUCAAGUCGGAUGUGAAAUCCCCGGGCUCAACCUGGGAACUGCAUUCGAAACUGGCAGGCUAGAGUCUUGUAGAGGGGGGUAGAAUUCCAGGUGUAGCGGUGAAAUGCGUAGAGAUCUGGAGGAAUACCGGUGGCGAAGGCGGCCCCCUGGACAAAGACUGACGCUCAGGUGCGAAAGCGUGGGGAGCAAACA
rnacentral:rRNA from 1 species